AACGAACGCUGGCGGCAGGCUUAACACAUGCAAGUCGAACGCCCCGCAAGGGGAGUGGCAGACGGGUGAGUAACGCGUGGGAACGUGCCCCUCGCUUCGGAAUAUUCCCGGGAAACUGGGAGCAAUGCCGAAUACGCCGUAUUGGGAAAGAUUUAUCGGCGAAGGAUCGGCCCGCGUUAGAUUAGGUAGUUGGCGGUGUAAUGGACCACCAAGCCUACGAUCUAUAGCUGGUCUGAGAGGAUGAUCAGCCACACUGGGACUGAGACACGGCCCAGACUCCUACGGGAGGCAGCAGUGGGGAAUUUUGGACAAUGGGCGCAAGCCUGAUCCAGCCAUGCCGCGUGAGUGAAGAAGGCCUUAGGGUUGUAAAACUCUUUCGCCGGAGAAGAUAAUGACGGUAUCCGGAGAAGAAGCCCCGGCUAACUUCGUGCCAGCAGCCGCCGUAAUAC
rnacentral:rRNA from 1 species